rnacentral:rRNA from 1 species
GACGAACGCUGGCGGCGUGUCUAAUACAUGCAAGUAGAACGCUGAAGGAGGAGCUUGCUCUUCUGGAUGAGUUGCGAACGGGUGAGUAACGCGUAGGUAACCUGCCUGGUAGCGGGGGAUAACUAUUGGAAACGAUAGCUAAUACCGCAUAAGAGUAGAUGUUGCAUGACAUUUACUUAAAAGGUGCAAUUGCAUCACUACCAGAUGGACCUGCGUUGUAUUAGCUAGUUGGUGGGGUAACGGCUUACCAAGGCGACGAUACAUAGCCGACCUGAGAGGGUGAUCGGCCACACUGGGACUGAGACACGGCCCAGACUCCUACGGGAGGCAGCAGUAGGGAAUCUUCGGCAAUGGACGGAAGUCUGACCGAGCAACGCCGCGUGAGUGAAGAAGGGUUUCGGAUCGUAAAGCUCUGUUGUAAGAGAAGAACGAGUGUGAGAGUGGAAAGUUCACACUGUGACGGUAUCUUACCAGAAAGGGACGGCUAACUACGUG